GACGGAAGGUGCAAGCGUUGCUCGGAAUCACUGGGCGUAAAGGGUGCGUAGGCGGCUUCUUAAGUCUGGUGUGAAAGCCCAGGGUUUAGCUCUGGAAGUGCACUAGAAACUGGGAAGCUUGAGUACCGGAGGGGAGAGUGGAAUUCCUGGUGUAGCGGUGAAAUGCGCAGAUAUCAGGAAGAACACCUAUGGCGAAGGCAGCUCUCUGGGACGGUACUGACGCUGAGACGCGAAAGCGUGGGGAGCGAACAGG
rnacentral:rRNA from 1 species